CAGCCGCCGCGGUAAGACAGAGGAUGCAAGCGUUGUCCGGAAUUAUUGGGCGUAAAGGGCUCGCAGGCGGUUUCUUAAGUCUGAUGUGAAAGCCCCCGGCUCAACCGGGGAGGGUCACUGGAAACUGGGAAACUUGAGUGCAGAAGAGGAGAGUGGAAUUCCACGUGUAGCGGUGAAAUGCGUAGAGAUGUGGAGGAACACCAGUGGCGAAGGCGACUCUCUGGUCUGUAACUGACGCUGAGGAGCGAAAGCGUGGGGAGCGAACAGGAUUAGAUACCCGCGUAGUCCCUGUCUCUAUACA
rnacentral:rRNA from 1 species